UGGACUAAUGAUGAGAUUGUACCAUGAACUAAAGAGUAUAAUUUAUCCAAUUCUGAGCACUGGAGAGCCGAAUUCCACC
rnacentral:snoRNA from 1 species